ensembl:lncRNA
GCAGGACACGGUGGUAGUCUUCACUGCUUCCCAAGGGGAAGGGGAGCUUACCGGUUACAAGGGAAUUGACAUCAGGUGGGCUCAUUAGUUACCACAGAAACCAGCAGUGGGGCAUGCUCCUCAUUGCCCCUUUGACAAGAAUGAUGACUCGCUAGGACCAGGGGCAAGCACAUGGAAAGAUGGAAAACUGAAGCUUUAGGAAAGUCAAGAGUCACACCCAAGACCACACAGGAAGUGAGAGAGCUGCCCCUGCUGGUUCUCCAGCAUGUAUGGAGGGCUCCUCUACAACAUGGAUGGGGCUGCCUUGCCAGCCGGGGCCUGAAAAUGCACCCAGGUGGACAGAAUCCCAAGUCCCUGGACAACCUGUGAAAUGCUAGCUGCCUGUGAACAGAUGAAAGGGAGGACAGGCAAUUGUCCUGGAAGGACGGAUCUGCAGACAGGACCUCCCCCAACUUUGACCGUGUACAUCGCGGGGUCUGCUUUCCCAGUCUGACCCCUGCCAGUGACAGCAGAGCUGUGAACCCUGGAAUACUGACAGCCAAGAAAAGUGGCAUCAUCAAACCCCUCCCAGCGCCUCUUCUCUCCUCUCAUGGCUGCUUUCAACAUCAAAG